rnacentral:rRNA from 1 species
AUUGAACGCUGGCGGUAGGCCUAACACAUGCAAGUCGAACGCGAAAGUCCUUCGGGAUGAGUAGAGUGGCGGACGGGUGAGUAACGCGUAGGAAUCUAUCCUGUAGUGGGGGAUAACGUUUCGAAAGGAACGCUAAUACCGCAUACGCCCAACGGGGGAAAGGCGGGGGAGUCUUCGGACCUCGUGCUAUAGGAGGAGCCUGCGUCGGAUUAGCUAGUUGGUGAGGUAAAGGCUCACCAAGGCGACGAUCCGUAGCUGGUCUGAGAGGAUGAUCAGCCACACCGGAACUGAGACACGGUCCGGACUCCUACGGGAGGCAGCAGUAGGGAAUAUUGCACAAUGGAGGAAACUCUGAUGCAGCGACGCCGCGUGAGUGAUGAAGGCC